UACGGAGGGAGCUAGCGUUGUUCGGAAUUACUGGGCGUAAAGCGCACGGAGGCGGCUUUGUAAGUUAGAGGUGAAAGCCCGGGGCUCAACUCCGGAACUGCCUUUAAAACUGCAUCGCUUGAAUCCAGGAGAGGUGAGUGGAAUUCCGAGUGUAGAGGUGAAAUUCGUAGAUAUUCGGAAGAACACCAGUGGCGAAGGCGGCUCACUGGACUGGUAUUGACGCUGAGGUGCGAAAGCGUGGGGAGCAAACAGG
rnacentral:rRNA from 1 species